AUGCCGCCGCCCACCGCCCACCGGCCCGGAUUGGCGCCGCCCCGGCCGGUGGCCACCGCGCCGGCGGCGAAGACGGUGAAGGGACGAGGAGGCAACGUAAAACGUCCGGCCAACCGCAGCCGCAACCCGACCGAUAGUACACGGCCGAUGAAGGUCUCUAAGGCGGCCGCGGCGGCUCGGGGCGACAACUCGCAGACGGUUCGGCCGACGGCCUCCUCCAGCAGCCACACAUCCAUUCCUCAACCUCCCCCGCCGCCACCGCCGGCCGUGGAGGAAGAUGUGGCCAUGCCGACGGCCACCACCUCCAACAUGUUCGACGAAAUGUCGCAGAGUAUUGAUGACGAAGCUUUCAUGCAUGCAACAAAUGUGGCAAAUGAUGAUUACAUGUAUGAGUCACAAGAAUAUGAAACCCAAUAUGAUGAUGACAAUCCUGAUGUGGACGAUGAGGGCUUUGUUGUCAAGGGAAGAAGUGGAAAUUAUACCACCGCGGAGGAUGUGCUGAUAUGCACCCCUUGGAAGAAAAUCUCUCAAGAAGCAAGCGUUGGAAGCGACCAAACGGUGAACACCUAUUGGAAAUGCAUCAAGGAGUAUUUCGAUGAGCGCAACACAAGUGGUAUCUUCCGUUCGAGCGACUCUCUACGCCAACAUUGGUCCACCAUCAACGCCGAAUGCUCAAAGUGGGCCGGUUGCUUGUCAAACGUUGCUCGCAUGAACCCAAGUGGUUGCGGUGAUAGUGAUUUGAAAAUGAUUGCACAAGGAUUGUUUCGAGAGAGGAACAUGAAAGGCGAGAAGAAGAAAAGGAAAGGAAAAGCUUUCACUUUUCAUCAUUGCCACAAAGAGCUCAAGGAUGUGGAGAAGUGGAAAACUAGAGAGACUUUUGAAUCGUCGAAGAAGAAGAGUGUGUUGCUUGAGGAUGAAGAAGAUGUCGCCAUUGAGGAUACGAGCGCCACUCCCCACUCCGCGACAAAAUCUUAUAGGCCCGAUGGAAAGAAGAAAGCGAAGGGAACCAAGGCUGGAGACAAUGAUCUCAAGGAAGGAUUUGAUGCCAUUGUCAUGGCAAGGAAAGAGUAUGUCGAAGAGAAAAGAAUCUUGAAGCUCAAGGAAAUAGAGGAGAGGAGUGAGGCCGGGCGGCGAAGGGAGGCGGCCGAGGAGAAGAGGGCGGCAGCUGAGGAGAGGUUGGCCGCGGCCGAGGAGAGGAAGGUGGACCUAGAGGAGAAGAAGGCCGCGGCCGACGAGAGGAAGAUGGUUGAGGGGAGGACACUCAAGUUUAUGUUUAUGGACACAUCAACUCUUGAUGCCAAGGCAAAGGCAUAUGUUGAACUUUGUCGCGAUGAAAUGCUCAUGAUGCAAAUGAUGAUGGGAGGAGGCAUGGGAGGUGCCAUGGGUGGUGCCAUGGGAGGAGGCAUGGGAGAUGCCAUGGGAGGAGGCAUGGGAUGA
rnacentral:rRNA from 1 species